rnacentral:rRNA from 1 species
AGAACGUCGUGAGACAGUUCGGUCCCUAUCCGUCGCAGGCGUAGGAAAUUUGAGAAGACCUGUCCUUAGUACGAGAGGACCGGGAUGGACGUACCUCUGGUGUACCAGUUGUUCUGCCAAGGGCAUGGCUGGGUAGCUAUGUACGGAAUGGAUAAGCGCUGAAAGCAUCUAAGCGCGAAGCCAACUUCAAGAUAAGAUUUCCCACCGCAAGGGUAAGACCCCAGAAAGACUAUCUGGUUGAUAGGUCGAAGGUGUAAGUGCAGCAAUGUAUUUAGCUUAUCGAUACUAAUAGGUCGAGGACUUGACCAAU